CUUGAUUUAGAUGUUAAUUGCACGUCUUUCUCUAGUUUCCUAAGUUAGAAGAUUAAUGAUUUAGAUCUUCUAUUGUAAAAUAUGCAUUCAACAUUAUAAAUUUUCCUCUAAACAUACCACAAAUUUUGGUGUUUGUUAAAUCAUCUUCUAAUGAACAAUGACCAUUGAAUUACUGGUCUCAUUUGAGAAGGAACUUUCCAAAGCAUGGCUCAUCUAUGCAAGAGAUAUUUAUUGAGAGACAAAUGUGCACUCUUGGGGACGAAAGAUUCAAAUCCUGACAGAAAAUCUGAUUGGCAUUCUUUUGGUUAUGUUCACACUCCCCUAAUGAGAGUCAUAUAAUUUGUUCUAUGGGACUGAAUUUGCAGCAAUCAACUCUCCGUGUGGUAUUUCUCUAUCAAAAAAAGACUUACAUGGGAAUAAUUAUUUCCAAAUUGUUUCUUGGCUGAAAUUAUUAUGUUUUUCUUAAAUAGGAGGUAAAAUAAUCUAGUGAAAUUGGUACCUACUCUGUAAUCAGAAGUAUGAAUUUAAAGCACAGAAUAGGUAAUUAAUGAUAUUAACUUAAGGAAGUUAAUGAUAUUAACUUAUGGCCAGAGUGUGGCUGAAAACAAGAAAACAAACAAAAGGCCUCUUCCUGGUUAGCAGGUUUGUGAAUAACACCCAGAAAAAGAAACGCUCCUUCCAGCCUUCCAAGGAGGGGCUGGUGAAGAUCAUGAUUCAAUUAUGAAAAUUUCCAAAGAUUUAAUUUUUUUUUGAGAUGGAUCCAAAGAAUAUAUGUGAAAACUUGUAAAAUAUCACACCCAAUUGUUUUAAAGACGGGAUCUGGUUAUCAAAAUGUCAUAAUUACAAGAAUUAGAAAUCCCCUUUCUCUUUUUUUUUCCUGAGGAAUUUCAAGAUCCAUCUAAAGCAAUAAAAAUUGUUGUAAUAUCA